rnacentral:rRNA from 1 species
ACUCUCGGCAACGGAUAUCUCGGCUCACGCAUCGAUGAAGAACGUAGCAAAAUGCGAUACUUGGUGUGAAUUGCAGAAUCCCGUGAACCAUCGAGUUUUUGAACGCAAGUUGCGCCCGAAGCCAUUYGGCCGAGGGCACGUCUGCCUGGGCGUCACGCAUCGCGUCGCCUCCGACAACACGCG